AUUUUGUAGGCGGGAAUCGAGCGGGAUAGAUGAUUGAGACGACUCGACCGUCCGUUGGGAACGUUCGAGUUGUGGAAAUAUUGAUUUGAAAAAAAAAAAAAGAACUAAAACGUGACUCCAUCUUGGUCGAAGCGAUGACAUCAGCGAAACUUAUGACUUUGACCAACAUCGUGAUAUUCCUCAAAACGCAACUAAAAAUUGUAUAACUGACCUGUUUUCCUCCGGCAACCAUUUUGAUAGUUAUGAUCACACACACACAGCGGAUAAGAUCACAAGCACUUUGUGUAUAAUAUUCUUAAAAGGGGGUAGUUUAAAACCGGCACUUGAGCCGCGUCUGUCUGACGCGGCGCUGUCGUUUGAACUGAACGAAACGAUACGAAAUAAUACGAAUGGUUGUGGACGAGCGCGGGGAUGAGCAAGCGCCGGUGCGCCCCGACCUCAAGGUCGCGCUUACCUCACUCAAACCAGAUGCUGGCAACAUUUUAUUUUAAUAAAAUACGAAUUUCAUUAAACUUA